rnacentral:rRNA from 1 species
GUGAGGAAUAUUGGUCAAUGGGCGAGAGCCUGAACCAGCCAAGCCGCGUGAAGGAUUGAAGGCCCUAUGGGUCGUAAACUUCUUUUGUACGGGAAGAAACCCUUGUACGUGUACGAGGUUGACGGUACCGUUCGAAUAAGCAUCGGCUAACUCCGUGCCAGCAGCCGCGGUAAUACGGAGGAUGCAGGCGUUAUCCGGAUUUAUUAGGUUUAAAGGGUGCGUAGACGGGUUUGUAAGUCAGUGGUGAAAUCCUACGGCUUAACUGUAGAACAGCCAUUGAUACUAUAGACCUUGAAUGCAGUUGAGGUAGGCGGAAUGUGUCGUGUAGCGGUGAAAUGCUUAGAUAUGACACAGAACACCGAUUGCGAAGGCAGCUUGCUAAACUGUGAUUGACGUUGAGGCACGAAAGCGUGGGGAUCAAACAGGAUUAGAAACCCGAGUAGUCC